CCAGAGUAUCAAUUGGCGGGCAAGUCUGGUGCCAGCAGCCGCGGUAAUUCCAGCUCCAAUAGCGUAUAUUAAAAUUGUUGCAGUUAAAAAGCUCGUAGUUGAAUUUCUGCUGCAUCGUCGCAUCUCUUGCUGAGUGCUUCAUUGCGGCUUAUUUCGGAUUGAUUUUUUCUUUCCGGAUGAUUACUUUGAGAAAAUUAGAG
rnacentral:rRNA from 1 species